rnacentral:rRNA from 1 species
GACGAACGCUGGCGGCGUGCUUAACACAUGCAAGUCGAACGGAAAGGCCCCUUUGGGGGUACUCGAGUGGCGAACGGGUGAGUAACACGUGAGUAACCUGCCCUUGACUUCGGGAUAACUUCAGGAAACUGGGGCUAAUACCGGAUAGGAAUCCUUGCUGCAUGGUGGGGGUUGGAAAGCUUCGGCGGUUUUGGAUGGACUCGCGGCUUAUCAGCUUGUUGGUGGGGUAGUGGCUUACCAAGGCUUUGACGGGUAGCCGGCCUGGGAGGGCGACCGGCCACAUUGGGACUGGGAUACGGCCCAGACUCCUACGGGAGGCAGCAGUGGGGAAUAUUGCACAAGGGGCGGGAGCCUGAUGCAGCAACGCCGCGGGCGGGAGGACGGCCUUCGGGUUGUAAACCGCUUUCAGCAGGGGCGAAGCUUGUGGUGACGGUACCUGCAGAAGAAGCACCGGCUAACUACGUG